rnacentral:misc_RNA from 1 species
GGAAUGGGGAUGCUUCAUGACAUGUCCACAAUAGGACAUACCACUACUGCACCUCCACUACUCCACCCUGCACCACCAGCCGCCACUGCUGCCGCCGCUGCAUUUGCUCCUCCUCCUCCUCAUCCCUUCGUAGUUCCCUCUAUGAUCCCAGCAGCAAAUCCGGACCCUGCCGCCAAUAGUUCAGCUCCUUUGCCUGAUCCAUAUUGCAGUU